rnacentral:rRNA from 1 species
GGAUCCAGACUUUGAUUAUGGCUCAGGAUGAACGCUAGCUACAGGCUUAACACAUGCAAGUCGAGGGGCAUCAGUUUGGUUUGCUUGCAAACCAAAGCUGGCGACCGGCGCACGGGUGAGUAACACGUAUCCAACCUGCCUCAUACUCGGGGAUAGCCUUUCGAAAGAAAGAUUAAUAUCCGAUAGCAUAUAUUUCCCGCAUGGGUUUUAUAUUAAAGAAAUUCGGUAUGAGAUGGGGAUGCGUUCCAUUAGUUUGUUGGCGGGGUAACGGCCCACCAAGACUACGAUGGAUAGGGGUUCUGAGAGGAAGGUCCCCCACAUUGGAACUGAGACACGGUCCAAACUCCUACGGGAGGCAGCAGUGAGGAAUAUUGGUCAAUGGACGCGAGUCUGAACCAGCCAAGUAGCGUGAAGGAUGACUGCCCUAUGGGUUGUAAACUUCUUUUAUAUGGGAAUAAAGUGGUCCACGUGUGGAUUUUUGUAUGUACCGUAUGAAUAAGGAUCGGCUAACUCCGUGCCAGCAGCCGCGGUAAUACGGAGGAUCCGAGCGUUAUCCGGAUUUAUUGGGUUUAAAGGGAGCGUAGGCGGAUUGUUAAGUCAGUUGUGAAAGUUUGCGGCUCAACCGUAAAAUUGCAGUUGAUACUGGCAGUCUUGAGUGCAGUAGAGGUGGGCGGAAUUCGUGGUGUAGCGGUGAAAUGCUUAGAUAUCACGAAGAACUCCGAUUGCGAAGGCAGCUCACUGGUGUGUAACUGACGCUGAUGCUCGAAAGUGUGGGUAUCAAACAGGAUUAGAUACCCUGGUAGUCCACACAGUAAACGAUGAAUACUCGCUGUUUGCGAUAUACAGUAAGCGGCCAAGCGAAAGCAUUAAGUAUUCCACCUGGGGAGUACGCCGGCAACGGUGCAACUCAAAUGAAUUGACGG